rnacentral:piRNA from 1 species
UUGGUUAUGCUUUCAGUACCCACAUGCCUU